rnacentral:tRNA from 1 species
GGGGUUGUGGCUCAUUGGUAGAGCGCUCAUCUAUCAUGUGUGAGGCACUGGGUUCAAGCCCACAGCACCA